rnacentral:rRNA from 1 species
GAUAAACGCUGGCGGCGUGCAUAACACAUGCAAGUCGAACGAUGAAGAUUAAAAGAUUUCUUCGGAAUGAACUUAAUUGGAUUAGUGGCGGACGGGUGAGUAACGCGUGAGUAACCUGCCUUGUACAAGGGGAUAGCCGUUGGAAACGACGAAUAAUACCCUAUGACAUCAAAUAAUCGCAUGAUAAUUUGAUCAAAGAUUUAUCGGUAUAAGAUGGACUCGCGUCUGAUUAGCUAGUUGGUAGAGUAAAAGCCUACCAAGGCAACGAUCAGUAGCCGGCUUGGGAGGGUGUACGGCCACAUUGGGACUGAGACACGGCCCAGACUCCUACGGGAGGCAGCAGUGGGGAAUUUUGCACAAUGGGGGAAACCCUGAUGCAGCGACGCCGCGUGAUUUAGAAGGCCUUCGGGUUGUAAAAAUCUUUUGUAUGGGAAGAAAAUGACAGUACCAUACGAAUAAGGACCGGCUAAUUACGUG